rnacentral:rRNA from 1 species
UAUUAUUUAAAAUGUAAAUUUUUUACUAAAGUAGUAAUAGCUAUGUUCUUGAAACUUAAAAAAUUUGGCGGUAUUUUAGUCUAUCCAGAGGAACCUGUUUUGUAAUCGAUAAUCCACGAUGGACCUUACUUAAGUUUGUAAUCAGUUUAUAUACCGUCGUUAUCAGAAUAUUUUAUAAGAAUAAUAAUAUUCAAUAAUUUUAAUAAAAAUUUAUAUCAGAUCAAGGUGUAGCUUAUAUUUAAGUAAUAAUGGGUUACAAUAAAUAUAUUUAAACGGAUAAAACUAUGAAAAAGUUUUUUAAGGUGGAUUUGGUAGUAAAAUUAUAAAGAUAAAUAAUUUGAUUUUAGCUCUAAAAUAUGUACACAUCGCCCGUCGCUCUUAUUAUUAAGGUAAGAUAAGUCGUAACAUAGUAGAUGUACUGGAAAGUGUAUCUAGAAUGA